UACGUAGGACACAAGCGUUAUCCGGAUUCAUUGGGUUUAAAGGGUGCGUAGGCGGGCCUUUAAGUCAGUGGUGAAAGUUUGCCGCUUAACGGUAAGAUUGCCAUUGAUACUGGAGGCCUUGAGUGCAGAUGAGGUAGGCGGAAUGUGUAGUGUAGUGGUGAAAUACUUAGAUAUUACACAGAACACCGAUUGCGAAGGCAGCUUACUAAAUUGCAACUGACGCUGAGGCACGAAAGCGUGGGGAUCAAACAGGAUUAGAUACCCUGGUAGUCCACGCCGUAAACGAUGAUAACUGGUUGUUGGCGAUAUAUUGUCAGCGACUGAGCGAAAGCAUUAAGUUAUCCACCUGGGGAGUACGUCGGCAACGAUGAA
rnacentral:rRNA from 1 species